GACAGAGGUGCCAAGCGUUAGGCGGAAUCACUGGGCUUAAAGCGUGUGUAGGCGGGCGAUCAAGUACCUUGUGAAAUCCCACGGCUCAACCGUGGAACUGCUGGGUAUACUGGUUGUCUUGAGCCAUCUAGGGGCUACCGGAACAAAUGGUGGAGCGGUGAAAUGCGUAGAUAUCAUGAGGAACACCGGUGGCGAAGGCGGGUCUCUGGGCCGUUACUGACGCUGAGGAGCGAAAGCGUGGGGAGCGAACAGG
rnacentral:rRNA from 1 species